UCAGCCGCCGCGGUAAAACCAGCACCUCGAGUGGUCAGGAGGUUUAUUGGGCCUAAAGCAUCCGUAGCCGGUUGUUUAAGUUUUCGGUUAAAUCUAUGCGCUUAACGUAUAGGCUGCCGAAAAUACUGGACAGCUAGGGAGUGGGAGAGGUACACGGUACUCAAUAGGAAGGGGUAAAAUCCUUUGAUCUGUUGAUGACCACCUGUGGCGAAGGCGGUGUACCAGAACACGUUAGACGGUGAGGGAUGAAAGCUGGGGGAGCAAACCGGAUUAGAUACCCGGGUAGUCCCAGCUGUAAACGAUGCAAACUCGGUGAUGCAUUGGCUUGUGGCCAAUGCAGUGCCGCAGGGAAGCCGUUAAGUUUGCCGCUUGGGAAGUACGUACGCAAGUAUGAAACUUAAAGGAAUUGGCGGGGGAGCACAA
rnacentral:rRNA from 1 species